rnacentral:sRNA from 1 species
CAGGCCUACCAGGGCUAAAACAUGUAGUUGAACGUGUUUCAUCAUUAGCUAUUUGGGCAGGUGAAUGUUGAUACAGGUUAUUCUUAGGCAUCAGUGCCCCGUGGCUAAUGCUGUAGGCAGUGGAUGUUUCUGGGAAGUAGCCAAGCAGGAUUGCUGCUCGUCCUUGAGCACUCCAUGCCCUCUGCCGAGCUCCCAUCACUUUAACUAGGAGAACCGGCCUCCAAGAUGCCUCCCUUUGAUGCUAACAUAGUCCUCAGAUCAGAUCCAGUGUCCAUGGUUUCAGAUUUCUUCUGCUUCACAAAUUCUUCCAGCUCUUUGAGUAUAUAUGUUUCUCAUGUACUCAAUUCAAUUGAACUCUUUAAAACCUCAGGGUUCUCUAGUUGUCACUUCAUUAUUAAAGCCACUUUCACACCUGAACCCCCUGUUAGGUUGCACUUGUGAUUCCACAGAGAGAAGUAGAGCUCCCAGGAAAGAAAGCAACACCGGCGUCUCUGGGUGCUUCCUGAAGAGGAUUCUGUGCUCUGGUUCCUGGAGCCAAAAUAGGUCCUGGCUUUGUACUAUACAAGCCGUUAAUCUCAUUAAACCCUGAGUCCACCGAAGUCUUUAUCUGACAGGAGCUGAGCCAGCAAUUUUCAAGGCAAGACAGUGACCAGCUAAACUCCUGAGAUAAUGAGUAUAUCAUUUCUCCUUGGCAAAGGUUAUGGAAUGAAAGAGAAUAAAUAACUUAGUUCAUACUUCCUCCCUCAAAGUUGAAAGGAUAUUCCCUUUGCAGCAAAAAAGGGAGCUUGAGGCUCUUUCGAGAAACACUCCCUGGGGUUGCAGAAAGGAGGGAGAGGUCAGCAUGAUUUUAAACCAACUGGCAUCUCUGCAGCUAACCAAGUUGGAGACAUUAGAGCCUCUUGUGGCCAUUAACUUUUGUGUGUCUCACAUCUCCUUCAGAACUUACGCUGGAAAAACUCCAACAGCUUCAUAUGGACAGAUGGACUUCAAACGCUGUUUGUAUUCCAGAGACUAGCGGCAGUGUUGUACUACUACUUCUAUAAACGGACAGCCGUAAGACUAGGCGACCCUCGCUUCUACCAGGACUCUUUGUGGCUGCGCAAGGAGUUCAUGCAAGUUCGAAGGUGACCUCUUGUCACACUGAUGGAUACUUUUCCUUCCUGAUAGAAGCCACAUUUGCUGCUCUGCAGGGAGAGUUGGCCCUAUGCAUGGAGAAACAGCUGGACUUUCCAAGGAAGGUUCAGACUAGCUGUGUUCAGCAUUCAAGAAGGGAGAUCCUCCCUCUUGCACAAUUAGAGUGUCCCCAUCGGUCUCCAGUGCGGCAUCCCUUCCUUGCCUUCUACCUCCGUUCCACCCCCUCCUUCCUUUCGUCUCUGUACCAUUCAUUCUCCCUGACCCGCCUUUCUUGCAGAGGGUUCUGUGGCUCUUACCCUUGUGAAGCUUUUCCUUUAGCCUGGGACAGAAGGACCUCCCAGCCCCCAAAGGAUCUCCCAGUGACCAAAGGAUGCGAAGAGUGAUAGUUAUGUGCUCCUGACUGAUCACACUGCAGACAUUUAGAUUUUUAUACCCGAGGCACUUUUUUAAAAUGUUUUAUAAAUAGAGAAUAAAUUGAAUUCUUGUUCCAUAAA